rnacentral:rRNA from 1 species
GAACUGAAGAGUUUGAUCCUGGCUCAGAUUGAACGCUGGCGGCAUGCCUUACACAUGCAAGUCGAACGGCAGCACGGGUGCUUGCACCUGGUGGCGAGUGGCGAACGGGUGAGUAAUACAUCGGAACAUGUCCUGUAGUGGGGGAUAGCCCGGCGAAAGCCGGAUUAAUACCGCAUACGAUCCAUGGAUGAAAGCGGGGGACCUUCGGGCCUCGCGCUAUAGGGUUGGCCGAUGGCUGAUUAGCUAGUUGGUGGGGUAAAGGCCUACCAAGGCGACGAUCAGUAGCUGGUCUGAGAGGACGACCAGCCACACUGGGACUGAGACACGGCCCAGACUCCUACGGGAGGCAGCAGUGGGGAAUUUUGGACAAUGGGCGAAAGCCUGAUCCAGCAAUGCCGCGUGUGUGAAGAAGGCCUUCGGGUUGUAAAGCACUUUUGUCCGGAAAGAAAUCCUUGGCUCUAAUACAGUCGGGGGAUGACGGUACCGGAAGAAUAAGCACCGGCUAACUACGUGCCAGCAGCCGCGGUAAUACGUAGGGUGCAAGCGUUAAUCGGAAUUACUGGGCGUAAAGCGUGCGCAG